rnacentral:rRNA from 1 species
UGGAUGAUGUGGAUAAUUCGAUGCAACGCGAAAACCUUACCUACCCUUGACAUGUCUGGAACCUUGCUGAGAGGCGAGGGUGCUUCGGAGCCAGAACACAGGUGCUGCAUGGCUGUCGUCAGCUCGUGUCGUGAGAUGUUGGGUUAAGUCCCGCAACGAGCGCAACCCUUGUCAUUAGUUGCUACAUUCAGUUGGGCACUCUAAUGAGACUGCCGGUGACAAGCCGGAGGAAGGUGGGGAUGACGUCAAGUCCUCAUGGCCCUUAUAGGUGGGGCUACACACGUCAUACAAUGGCUGGUACAAAGGGUUGCCAACCCGCGAGGGGGAGCUAAUCCCAUAAAGCCAGUCGUAGUCCGGAUCGUAGUCUGCAACUCGACUACGUGAAGUCGGAAUCGCUAGUAAUCGUGGAUCAGAAUGUCACGGUGAAUACGUUCCCGGGUCUU